UGCAAGUCGAACGGGGAUUUGUUUCGGCAGAAUCCUAGUGGCGAACGGGUGAGUAACGCGUAGGCAACCUGCCCUCCGGCCGGGGACAACACUCCGAAAGGGGUGCUAAUACCGGAUACGAAGUCUGUGCCGCAUGGUACGGAUUUGAAAGAUGGCCUCUAUUUAUAAGCUAUCGCCGGGGGAUGGGCCUGCGUCCGAUUAGCUGGUUGGUGGGUAACGGCCUACCAAGGCGACGAUCGGUAGCCGGUCUGAGAGGAUGAACGGCCACAUUGGGACUGAGACACGGCCCAGACUCCUACGGGAGGCAGCAGUGGGGAAUCUUCCGCAAUGGGCGCAAGCCUGACGGAGCAACGCCGCGUGAGUGAGGAAGUUCUUCGGAACGUAAAGCUCUGUUGUUCCUGACGAACCUCCCCUCUAUCAACAACGGAGGGGACUGACGGUAGGGAACGAGGAAGCCACGGCUAACUACGUGCCAGCCGCCGC
rnacentral:rRNA from 1 species